GAUCCCCUCGAUAGUCUGUUCGAUGACCUUGACGUGGACAGCACAGAAGGAGUGGUCCCAUUUUUUACCAAGGUGGUGGCCCUGCUGGAAAGGGAGCAUGUUCUUACAGAUCUACUGAUAGAGAGCAUCGAGGACUACUCCUUCAGUGAGGACGAAGUCUCUUCAGGUAGGGAAUGGCACCGAGGAGGGGAACACUGGGACAGGGCUCCCGGGAACAUGGGGUUGCCCCUGCCGCUCUGGAGAAUGAAGAAGGUGGG